UACGUAGGGGGCUAGCGUUGUCCGGAAUCAUUGGGCGUAAAGAGCGUGUAGGCGGCUCGGUAAGUCCGCUGUGAAAGUCCAGGGCUCAACCCUGGAAUGCCGGUGGAAACUGUCGAGCUAGAGUCCGGAAGAGGCGAGUGGAAUUCCUGGUGUAGCGGUGAAAUGCGCAGAUAUCAGGAGGAACACCGAUGGCGAAGGCAGCUCGCUGGGACGGUACUGACGCUGAGACGCGAAAGCGUGGGGAGCAAACAGG
rnacentral:rRNA from 1 species